AAAUAUGAAGUGAUAUAUUCACAUUUAGUUUCGACCUAAAAAUAGAUGUUAAAAUCAUCCUUAUUUU
rnacentral:tRNA from 1 species